UACGGAGGGGACUAGCGUUGUUCGGAAUUACUGGGCGUAAAGCGCGCGUAGGCGGCUUUGUAAGUUAGAGGUGAAAGCCCGGAGCUCAACUCCGGAACUGCCUUUAAGACUGCAUCGCUUGAAUCCGGGAGAGGUGAGUGGAAUUCCGAGUGUAGAGGUGAAAUUCGUAGAUAUUCGGAAGAACACCAGUGGCGAAGGCGGCUCACUGGACCGGUACUGAC
rnacentral:rRNA from 1 species